UACGGAGGGGGUUAGCGUUGUUCGGAAUCACUGGGCGUAAAGGGUGCGUAGGCGGGUCUUUAAGUCAGGGGUGAAAUCCUGGAGCUCAACUCCAGAACUGCCUUUGAUACUGAAGAUCUUGAGUUCGGGAGAGGUGAGUGGAACUGCGAGUGUAGAGGUGAAAUUCGUAGAUAUUCGCAAGAACACCAGUGGCGAAGGCGGCUCACUGGCCCGAUACUGACGCUGAGGCACGAAAGCGUGGGGAGCAAACAGG
rnacentral:rRNA from 1 species